rnacentral:rRNA from 16 species
UUUGGUUCUAUUUUGUUGGUUUCUAGGACCAUCGUAAUGAUUAAUAGGGACGGUCGGGGGCAUCAGUAUUCAAUUGUCAGAGGUGAAAUUCUUGGAUUUAUUGAAGACUAACUACUGCGAAAGCAUUUGCCAAGGACGUUUUCAUU